rnacentral:rRNA from 1 species
UCAGUCGACUCCUACGGGGAGGCAGCAGUGGGAAUAUUGCACAAUGGGGGAAACCCUGAUGCAGCCAUGCCGCGUGUGUGAAGAAGGCCUUCUGGUUGUAAAGCACUUUCAGUAGGGAGGAAGGUAGUGUAGUUAACACCUGCAUUAUUUGACGUUACCUACAGAAGAAGCACCGGCUAACUCCGUGCCAGCAGCCGCGGUAAUACGGAGGGUGCGAGCGUUAAUCGGAAUUACUGGGCGUAAAGCGCAUGCAGGCGGCCUGUUAAGUCAGAUGUGAAAGCCCGGGGCUUAACCUCGGAAUUGCAUUUGAAACUGGCAGGCUAGAGUCUUGUAGAGGGGGGUAGGAAUUUCAGGUGUAGCGGUGAAAUGCGUAGAGAUCUGAAGGAAUACCAGUGGCGAAGGCGGCCCCCUGGACAAAGACUGACGCUCAGAUGCGAAAGCGUGGGGAGCAAACAGGAUUAGAUACCCUGGUAG